GGGAUUUCUACAACAUACUUCUUGCCAGUUGAGUCAGAAUGAAGGCUCUACUUUGGCUUUACCAUGUUUUGUGCUUUCUUUGCUACUGCCGUGCUGUGCCCCAAAUGUCGAGACUGAGUGCGAGUUCAAGCCCAUUGACUGGAAAUAUGUCACCAAUAUAUAGCUACUUUGAUAUACCAUGGCUGGCAUCUAUACCUGGAAAUUGCCAGGGUAUUGUCCUGACUCCAUGGCUGAUUCUUUCUACAGCUAACUGUCUGAAGAAAUUGAAACCGUUAUACCUGGACAUUUCAGGAGUAAAUGACCCAGAAAGCAUUCCACAUGGCCAAAGAAUCUGCCUCCACCCCAAGUUUAAUCCCAAAGAUGAAAAUGAUCCAGUGGAAGCAGAUAUUGGCUUGAUCAUUCUUGAAGAGCCUAUUUACGGGGAUGAAAUACCACUAUCUCAGUUCACUAAUAUAUCCUUGAAGAGCUGUUCUAAGUGCCAAUACAAAAGCUGUUAUGUGUAUGAAUAUCAGAGUAGCAAGAAGCUCGGAACCACCAGAGUAAAGAAGAUAGAUGUGCAGCUUCUAGAUUUCUCAACAUGCCACCACCAGCAUUCCUAUCUAGAGAAGACUGUGGGCUUGUGUAUUCAGAGUCAACCACGGGAAGACUGCUGGAUACAGCAAGCCAGUCCUGUUCUAUGUCUCCUAAAGAACCACUGGGAACUAGUGGGCCUCAUACAUAGGACUUCAAAGAUAUGUCAAAAUCCCACAGUCAUCAUUAGAACAACUCCUUACUUUACCUGGAUAAAACGAUUCAUCAAGGCAGGAGCUUCAAAGCCAAGAUCUUCUCCCAGAU
rnacentral:lncRNA from 14 species